UACAGAGGGGGCAAGCGUUGUUCGGAAUUACUGGGCGUAAAGGGCGCGUAGGCGGCCUUCUAAGUCGAACGUGAAAUCCCCGGGCUCAACCCGGGAACUGCGUCCGAUACUGGAAGGCUUGAAUCCGGGAGAGGGAUGCGGAAUUCCAGGUGUAGCGGUGAAAUGCGUAGAUAUCUGGAGGAACACCGGUGGCGAAGGCGGCAUCCUGGACCGGCAUUGACGCUGAGGCGCGAAAAGCCAGGGGAGCAAACAGGG
rnacentral:rRNA from 1 species